rnacentral:lncRNA from 1 species
GAUGAAUUUUAAUUUCCAUGGUGCCUCAUCUUUGCUGAAUAUGAAACCUUCAAGCCUCUGAAGAGCUGAAUAAAUUAACCCACGUCUGUCCGGGCUUCAUCCUAACUUUGCCGCUGGCGCACCCGGAAAGGAAGCUGAAGUCAGACUUCGGUUGCUGCCUCCUGCUCUUGGUAGCACUGAAACGUGCUCCCCCCACGUGUAAUUGGGACAGUAAUUUCCUAAGAGAAUAUAAAUAAGACUUCCACAAGCCGAUCGUGUCUAAACCCUACUCACUCUUGGACUUAACUUCUUCACCAU